rnacentral:rRNA from 1 species
GACAGAGGAUGCAAGCGUUAUCCGGAAUGAUUGGGCGUAAAGCGUCUGUAGGUGGCUUUUCAAGUCCGCCGUCAAAUCCCAGGGCUCAACCCUGGACAGGCGGUGGAAACUACCAAGCUGGAGUACGGUAGGGGCAGAGGGAAUUUCCGGUGGAGCGGGUGAAAUGCGUAGAUAUCAAGCGGAACACCAGUGGCGAAGGCGAGUCCCUGGACAACUCCUGACACUGAGGCACGAAAGCUAGGGGAGCAAACAGG